UGCAUAUUCCUCAGUCCGACAUACUCCCUGCAUAUUCCUCAGUCCGACAUACUCCCUGCAUAUUCCUCAGUCCGACAUACUCCCUGCAUAUUCCUCAGUCCGACAUACUCCCUGCAUAUUCCUCAGUCCGACAUACUCCCUGCAUAUUCCUCAGUCCGACAAGUCCUCGUGAUUAUCCAGUUACUGUGAGUGGCAUUGGGGUUACCGUUAAACAUGCAUGUGAGGUUUGUGUGUGUGUGUGCACGUUUGUGCCUGCGUGUGUAUGUAGCAGUGUGUGUAUGUGCCUCUGUGAUUUGUGCGUGUGCACGUUUGUGCCUGCCUGUGUAUGUAGCAGUGUGUGUAUGUGCCUCUGUGAUUUGUGCGUGUGCACGUGUGUUUGGUAUAAAAACAGAGGCAGUAUCAUUUGAAGACGUGUGACAACGAGACAGGGACCACGUCUUCCUCCCAGUCCCUAUAGCUGCUGCUGGUCUCCGGGUCCUGGGCCUCCGACCUCUUCGGAGGAACCAUGACCUUCAACCCCAUAGGGACCAACACAGAUUGAACCUACAGGGACCAUGGGUCUCAGCGACCUGUCCUGCACCCUGAGCUCUAAUGUCUACCCCUGUCUUCGGGACCAUGGGUCUCGGCGACUGCGGAACCAAGCUGGAGGAAGGGAAGAGGACAAACUGAUCUUCAGAAACGAGAUUAUGUUCUUUUGACGACUCCAGUGCUGUGAUCAACAGGAGGCACUGGGUGAAGCUUUAGUUCUGCGGUGUCUAACCCCCACAGAAGGGCAACGUGAACCUGGAAUUCCUGUCCCACAAGAUUCCAAGAGAAAUGCUUUAGGAAGGUCACCUACCAGUUUGAAAUCUUCCACAACAGUUAUUUCAUCAGGAUGGUGGAUCCAGCCAGUUACCCAGUGGAGGUGGAUCUGAAGGAGAUGGUCGACACGGAGAUCACGUCCACAACCUCUGUCCACAACACUGAGAUGUUUGUGGAGUCCUGCAAGACCACGCUCUCAGACAACCCGAAUGAUCCUGACCACUACAGCAUCAUCCAAAAUGGGUCAGGGACAAAAAACCCAAAAGAAAACAUUGGUUCCUUGUUGUAUACGUUCAUUAUAUACUUUACUGCAGCGCUCCUACCGGUUAAAA
ensembl:lncRNA